rnacentral:lncRNA from 1 species
AGAUAAGAAAGACAAGAUGAGUUAGAAUUAGUGUCGUUUAAAUGAAUUAUUGACUCAUAUAAACAUGUAGCAUGUUGUUUUCGUUCAAAUUUUCAUCUGCUCGAGUCGUUCACUUUUCAUGUCUUGUCAUACUAUGAUUAGAUGCAGCAUCGCUAGAUCUCAUUAUUAUUUUUUUAGUUAUGUCGCAUAAAACUUGAAGUAUGCCUCCAAUUUUAUGGCAGAGGCUGAACAGCUAUUGAUUUGUUUUCUAUGAAUAACUGUUACUACUUUUCUUUAGCUUUUUAAAAAGAAUAAAAAUAAGAUAAUGUUGGCUUGUAAAAUAGCUGCUGCUUUAGCUAAGUUUUCGGGUUCCAAUUUUGCUUAUGAAGUGAUUCGGGUAUUCAAAUACAAAUAGUAUAUUAAGAAGUUAUUGUAUCUAUCAAAACAAGUUAGCAAGUAUCCAUCUAGUAAAGACACUUUAAUCUUUUCUAGUCAUGAGUUGCUAGGCACCUUGUCUAACAUUGAUAACUUGUAUUUUUUUGUUUCAUAUUGAGAACUUAGCGACUUCUCUAUGUUCUAAAUUCCCAAAAUAGACCAUAUAAGGUGAUGAUAUUCUCAUGUUUCCUUCCUAAGUAUGCUUGCUUACUUGAUUUCAAUGGAAUACAUAUGCUUUUAAGUUAGUUGAGGACAAUUAGUUUACUAGAUUAACUUAGUGUAUCCCAAAAUUGUGCAAAAUAUAUAAAGUAAGCAAUUCUAAUAGCAUUUGAAAGGUUUACACAAACUCAUGGUUGCCAAGAUAGUGAAAGAAAAUAUUUUUUACAUGUCAAAAUGCCACUUUAACAAGUCUCUGAUAUCUUGUUUAAUGUGGGUUUAUAUUUGUUUGCAUACUUACAUUACUGCACCGUUUAAUUAGUUACUAAUCUUUAUCUCCUUAUAUUUCUUAUGUUUCAUGUACAACCGGAGGGCUGGAGUUUCUACUUUGGAACUCGUUAUUGGCCUAAGAUAGUAGGCCAACAACAAUUAGGAUCAUCACAACGCUUGGAGUCUCGCAAAUUAGGAGUCCAAUAUUUCUUAGUCUUUCUCUUUUCGAGUCUUAAUUAUAUUGUUUUGAUAUGUUGGCUAACCUUUACUCUUAAGUUUUGAUAUAUUGCU